rnacentral:tRNA from 1 species
GGGUAUAGCUCAAGUGGUAGAGCACAUGCUUAGCAUGCAUGAGGUCCUGGGUUCAAUCCCCAGUACGUCCA